CAGCAGCCGCGGUAAUACGGAGGAUCCAAGCGUUAUCCGGAAUCAUUGGGUUUAAAGGGUCCGUAGGCUGUCUUGUAAGUCAGUGGUGAAAGCCCAUCGCUCAACGGUGGAACGGCCAUUGAUACUGCAGGACUUGAAUUAUUGGGAAGUAACUAGAAUAUGUAGUGUAGCGGUGAAAUGCUUAGAGAUUACAUGGAAUACCAAUUGCGAAGGCAGGUUACUACCAAUUGAUUGACGCUGAUGGACGAAAGCGUGGGUAGCGAACAGGAUUAGAUACCCGAGUAGUCCCUGUCUCUUAUAA
rnacentral:rRNA from 1 species